AUGCUUCAACCUCGGCACGGCGGAGCUACAAGUGUAGGUCCGGGAGCUGCAACCAGCCAGACAAAUGAUGGAACUGGCGACGAUCGUGUUAUGUCGGCAACGGUGGCGGUCCACCAUUGCUGGAACCAGCUACUUCUUUUGCUGGAACUACCAUUAAUUUUUGCUGAAACUAGAUUUUUUUAUUGCUACAAUCAACUAGUGUGUUUGCUGCCGAGUUAUUUUUUUGCUGGAACCAGCAUUUGUGUUUGCUGGAACUGGCUUUUUUGUUUGCUACAAUCGUCUUUCUCAGAUUUGUACUGCUGA
rnacentral:rRNA from 1 species